rnacentral:tRNA from 1 species
GAGGAUGUAGCUCAGCAGCAGAGUGUGUGUCUAGCAUGCACAAGGUCCUGGGUUCAAUUCCCAGUGCCUCCA